GGGUGAUUAGCUCAGCUGGGAGAGCACCUCCCUUACAAGGAGGGGGUCGGCGGUUCGAUCCCGUCAUCA
rnacentral:tRNA from 36 species